GGGGAGCUGCUGAAGUCCUCCCCGCUGCAGAGGACCGAGAGGCAGGGCCCGGGAGAGAACAGCCCGGUCGGAGGGGGUGGGCCGUCAGCCGCCCCGGAAAGCUGCGUUUCCCGGUGAUUAAGUGUAGCACCCGCCCCCGGUAGGUCCUGAGAGGGGCGAGAUUAGUUGGGUACUUACCAUGUGGGCCUGGCACUUGCCCACAUCACUUUGUGUCUUCCCACCGGCCCUGCGAGGGUGGGGGUUGCCGUCCUCAGUUUCCAGGCGGGGGAAACGGGCUGGAAGCGUCACUCAGCUAAUAGUAGUGGACCUGGGACUGGAACUCAGAUUUGCUAAGGAACCAGGCAGGUUCUUUCCUGUUUUCUGCACGGGAGCAUUUUAACCAGCAAUUAAAGAAACCUUAUUUCUAGGUAAUUUUUAAAAGA
rnacentral:lncRNA from 10 species